rnacentral:lncRNA from 1 species
UGUGCUAGUGACCUAAUACGGUAUAUAUGGGGUCAGUAAAUUCCAUAUGGGGUGAGAGCGAAGCUCGAAUCCCCAUAUGGAAUUUACUGACCCCAUAUAUACCGUAUUACGUCACCAGCACACUAUGUAACGAAUUUAUCUUACCGACUAUCUUAACGUGUGAAAUAAAGACUAGUGAUUCUCAAAAUGAGCAAGUCUUCAAUACUGUUAACAUUAAGAAAAUACUUCCAUUGAUCCUACAAAAACAGAUGCCAACAAUAACGACUUGUAAGGUUUAAAUGUGUUUUAUGAAUUUAUUUCAAUCUUAAUCAUCAAUUUCUUCGUCUGUUGGAACUUUUAAGUUUUUUUCUCAGUACCGUUUUGUUUUUAUAAAGGGACAUAACACCAUUACUAACCGUGUAUGAAAUAAGCCCCGCCCCCUUCUUACCUAAUAUGGAAUAUAAAGGGACGUAACUCCACUACUAACCGUGUAUGAGAUAAACCCCGCCUCCCUACUAACCUAAUAUCAAAUAUACACGGUUUGCACGCGGACGCUUUUAACCAAUCAUAUUCAUGGAA